rnacentral:piRNA from 1 species
UGCUACUUACAGUGGCUGAAAACUGCAAC